GGUUGCGAUCAUACCAGCACUAAUGCACCGGAUCCUAUCAGAACUCCGCAGUUAAGCGUGCUUGGGCGAGAGUAGUACUAAGAUGGGUGACCUCCUGGGAAGUCCUCGUGUUGCAACCC
rnacentral:rRNA from 1 species